rnacentral:lncRNA from 1 species
CUACUUGUGAAUGGUGGGUCAGGCUUAACUAAAGAGUAUGGGCAAUAACGUUAGGUGAGCCCACAUGACUUAGAGACUAAGUCACUGCAACAUACUUAGAGAAGCAUCUGGGCAAAGAGUUACCUACGCAUCGAUGUGUGAUAUGAUCGCGAUGUUGUCGUUAGGACACCGUGAUUAUCAAUCUAAUUCCAACUUUAAUAAAAAUUAAAAACACAUAGAAAGUAGCAAGUC